rnacentral:rRNA from 1 species
UCGAGCGGACAGAUGGGAGCUUGCUCCCUGAUGUUAGCGGCGGACGGGUGAGUAACACGUGGGUAACCUGCCUGUAAGACUGGGAUAACUCCGGGAAACCGGGGCUAAUACCGGAUGCUUGUUUGAACCGCAUGGUUCAAACAUAAAAGGUGGCUUCGGCUACCACUUACAGAUGGACCCGCGGCGCAUUAGCUAGUUGGUGAGGUAAUGGCUCACCAAGGCGACGAUGCGUAGCCGACCUGAGAGGGUGAUCGGCCACACUGGGACUGAGACACGGCCCAGACUCCUACGGGAGGCAGCAGUAGGGAAUCUUCCGCAAUGGACGAAAGUCUGACGGAGCAACGCCGCGUGAGUGAUGAAGGUUUUCGGAUCGUAAAGCUCUGUUGUUAGGGAAGAACAAGUACCGUUCGAAUAGGGCGGUACCUUGACGGUACCUAACCAGAAAGCCACGGCUAACUACGUGCCAGCAGCCGCGGUAAUACGUAGGUGGCAAGCGUUGUCCGGAAUUAUUGGGCGUAAAGGGCUCGCAGGCGGUUUCUUAAGUCUGAUGUGAAAGCCCCCGGCUCAACCGGGGAGGGUCAUUGGAAACUGGGGAACUUGAGUGCAGAAGAGGAGAGUGGAAUUCCACGUGUAGCGGUGAAAUGCGUAGAGAUGUGGAGGAACACCAGUGGCGAAGGCGACUCUCUGGUCUGUAACUGACGCUGAGGAGCGAAAGCGUGGGGAGCGAACAGGAUUAGAUACCCUGGUAGUCCACGCCGUAAACGAUGAGUGCUAAGUGUU